rnacentral:rRNA from 1 species
UUUGGUACUGGAUAUUUUGGUUUUCCAGUAGAAGAAGGUAGUGAGAAGCAAAAAGCUGGAUUAAAUGCAGAGAUUUCGAACGGGCG